UGUGCUGUCGCUCAGUGGUAGGGUAUGUGUCUAGCAUGCACCAGGCUCUGCGUUGAAUCCCCAGCACUGUAA
rnacentral:tRNA from 1 species